rnacentral:rRNA from 1 species
UACGGAGGAUCCAAGCGUUAUCCGGAUUCAUUGGGUUUAAAGGGUGCGUAGGUGGGUCUGUAAGUCCGUGGUGAAAUCUCCGAGCUUAACUUGGAAACUGCCAUGGAUACUAUAGGUCUUGAAUAUUGUGGAGGUCAGCAGAAUAUGUCAUGUAGCGGUGAAAUGCUUAGAGAUGACAUAGAACACCAAUUGCGAAGGCAGCUGGCUACGCAUAUAUUGACACUGAGGCUCGAAAGCGUGGGGAUCAAACAGG